UGAGGUAAAGGCUUACCAAGGCGAUGAUGCAUAGCCGAGUUGAGAGACUGAUCGGCCACAUUGGGACUGAGACACGGCCCAAACUCCUACGGGAGGCAGCAGUAGGGAAUCUUCCACAAUGGACGCAAGUCUGAUGGAGCAACGCCGCGUGAGUGAAGAAGGUUUUCGGAUCGUAAAGCUCUGUUGUUGGUGAAGAAGGAUAGAGGUAGUAACUGGCCUUUAUUUGACGGUAAUCAACCAGAAAGUCACGGCUAACUACGUGCCAGCAGCCGCGGUAAAU
rnacentral:rRNA from 1 species